rnacentral:rRNA from 1 species
UACUUAGGGUGCGAGCGUUAAUCGGAAUUACUGGGCGUAAAGCGUUCGCAGGCGGUUUUGUAAGCCAGAUGUGAAAGCCCCGGGCUUAACCUGGGAAUGGCAUUUGGGACUGCAAGGCUUGAGUGCGGCAGAGGAGACUGGAAUUCCUGGUGUAGCAGUGAAAUGCGUAGAUAUCAGGAGGAAUACCGAUGGCGAAGGCAGGUCUCUGGGCUGACACUGACGCUCAUGCACGAAAGCGUGGGGAGCAAACAGG